UACCUUAUACAGGAACAUAACGUUGAGAAAUCGGCGCUAACAUUCCAUAAUAUUAUUUGUAGGCAUCUAUGAAUAAUUAAAACUACCGGUGGUAUAAGAUGGGCACGCGUUCCAUUAGCUAGUUGUAAGGUAACGGCUUACCAGGCAACGAUGGAUAGGGUCUGAGAGGAUAAUCCCCCACACUGGAACUGAGACACGGUCCAGACUCCUACGGGAGGCAGCAGUAAGGAAUAUUGGGCAAUGGAGGCAACUCUGACCCAGCCAUGCCGCCGUGCAGGAAGACGGCCCUAUGGGUUGUAAACUGCUUUUAAUAGGGAUUAAAGUCGACUACGUGUAGUUGUUUGCAAGUACCUAUAGAAUAAGCAUCGGCUAACUCCGUGCCAGCCGCAGC
rnacentral:rRNA from 1 species